CAAGUGGCAAAAUGGCUGCCCAGGGAAACAGCACAAGGGGAAGACAUGUGGGGAGGAAAGAGGAUGAUACAGGCAGAGGGGCCCGAGUAUAAGGGGUGAGGGAGUAAGAGCACAAUUGCAGGAUGAGGUACACAGCUGCAAGGCAGGUGAAUGAAGAAACGACAAACUCAGACUCCAUGUAGGUUGUUCUGGUGGUUGAGGCCGGCCCUGACAUUUGGAAAUAUUUGUCCCAGCGCUUUUGUUGUCUUGCAAAAUGAACCCCAAACCACAAGCAUCACUGGGAAUAAAGAAUAAGUUUGCCAAUACCAGCAAAUACCAAGCAUGGUUUUCCUGCCUUUGACCUAUUUUAAAAAGAUGAUGCUCCCUACGGGAGGGCUGAAUUUAAAAAAUAACAUGAAAUUUAGGGUUUCCACCCAUCCAACCAAAAUGCUAUAGAGACCCUUAACCCCCACCUGAGGCAUUUAAAGGGUAUGGAAUGCUGAAACCAGGACUGGAGGGAAACAUUAUCAAAGGCACAAUCCCAAAUAUUUUCAUGUUUUCAUAAUAAUUGUUAUAUCAGGUUUAUUAACAGUCACCCAACUGGUCACCUGGGGCGAGUAAAGCUUAUUGCAGGGGACCAGGCUGGAAAGGGAUGUAUUACUAUUCUAGGAGUUUGCCUAGGAAAGCUUUCCUUGCCAGAGCCUGUUCCAUGUUUGAAAUGGUAUCUGGAAUUUUAACAGCUGAACAUGAGUACCUUUCAAUGACAAACUGUAUCAGUGGUGGGUUGGGCACCUCUGCGCAAGGAGCUGUACUCAGUGGGAAGUCAUGCCGUCUAACAGGGGGGAAGGAGCAUUUGAGCACAAAUAUCCCUGCCAGCAUUUUGCUAGGGAAGUCCAGUAGGUUAGGAGGAUGGCAGAUUUAUAAUCCACCUAAUCUGAUCUCUCUUGCAGAUCCUAUCCCCUGCAUUCUAAAACCUCUUUCUCUGCCUCGCUAAUCUUGACUUCUGAAGUGAUCCUGGCACAGUAACCCUGCGAAAACAAGCUGGGGAAAUUUCCACGCAAGCCAUUCUCAUAUGCUGAGAAUGUAGAGGUGAAAAACAG